rnacentral:rRNA from 1 species
UAAUACGAAGGGGGCGAGCGUUGUUCGGAAUUACUGGGCGUAAAGGGUGCGUAGGCGGUCCUUUAAGUUAGAUGUGAAAGCCCAAGGCUCAACCUUGGAAUUGCAUUUAAUACUGAAGGGCUUGAGUUUUGGAGAGGAUAGCGGAAUUCCCAGUGUAGAGGUGAAAUUCGUAGAUAUUGGGAAGAACACCAAUGGCGUAGGCAGCUAUCUGGCCAAAAACUGACGCUGAGGCACGAAAGCGUGGGGAGCAAACAGGAUUAGAUACCCUGGUAGUCCACGCCGUAAACGAUGUGUGCUAGCUGUUGGAAUCUUAGAUUUCAGUGGCGCCGCUAACGCAGUAAGCACACCGCCUGGGGAGUACGGUCGCAAGAUUA